rnacentral:lncRNA from 1 species
UCAUGGUUUAGGGAGGAAAAUUCAGGGGAGCUCUUGGAGAUGCUCUAAGCCACUAUGGCUGUCCUGCAGUCUACCUUUCAUCUAUAAAUAAGAGGCUCAAAAUCAGUGUCUCCUUUGCAGCCCAUAACAAGUCAGCAAACCUUCUAACCUGUGCUGAUUUUCCAAACACUUAAUUCUCUUGCCAUCCUUGGUGCUUGGACUCUAUGGCACAGGAACCGCAGUGUUUUCGCUGGAGUGGCGCCUAGAAUGGCAGGAGCCUUGCUGCUAGCUGAAGAAGCAGCGCAGCUGUGGGCGAUGGCUGGGGGACGGGGCUCGAAGUCUCUCCCUCUUGACAGCCCUGGAUCCUAAUGAGUAGUUGAUAGUUUCAAGGUCAUCUUUUGUCUAAUCAUGGGCACGCAUGUAAUAUUUUAAACUUUGUAUGGGUGUGGUGUACUUGGGGUACUAAUCCUCUCUUCUCAUUUAACAUAAUGAUACGCAGCUCUCCUACGUGUUAGAGAAAAUUGUAAGCAUUGAUGAGCAAUUCGUCCAGGCAUAUGUGUGUUGUACUCUAUGUACUCUAUGUAAAUUUCUUCUUAAUGCAAUGAUGCUUAGCUCUCCUGCGUAUUUGAGAAAAAAU